rnacentral:misc_RNA from 1 species
CAAGUGUCCAAAGUUGUUAUCAUCAUAGUUAUAUGAGAGUAUGAUUCAUGUGAGUUGUUUAAGCUUUAGAUUAUUAGUCUUGUGGGAAGGAUAUUCAGUUACUGGGCAGGUGCAAGUCCUUCAAAACCAAGAAUUUCCUUUCACAGAAAUUCUUCUUUCCAUUAUAGUUGCUCUGCUAAUUGCUUCCAGUCCAUACCAUGAUCUAGUGGGUGAGAUCAUAGUUGUUAUGAUGCUGUUAGUGUCCUAACAGUUACGUAGUAGUGGUGGCAGUAGCCAUUAAGGAAAGGAAAGAACAGUAUUUGUACUUAUCCAUUAGAAUGUUUUUGAGACUUGCAUCUUCACACUACAGACCAUAGUGAUCUAGAGUAGAGAACAUAAAUAAAUAUUAGAAGGAAUAUUCUUUUCGACAUUAUGAAUUAAUCUCCUCCAUGCAGAAUUUAUAAAUUAUGUGAGCCUAAAUAUUCUUUGUUCCUGUUUUGAGUUCUGCUGUUUCAAAGUCUGUGUUUGCAUUUGCAUAUAUUCUGUGG